GACGAACGCUGGCGGCGCGCCUAACACAUGCAAGUCGAACGAGCGAGAGAGAGCUUGCUUUCUCAAGCGAGUGGCGAACGGGUGAGUAACGCGUGAGGAACCUGCCUCAAAGAGGGGGACAACAGUUGGAAACGACUGCUAAUACCGCAUAAGCCCACAGGUCGGCAUCGACCAGAGGGAAAAGGAGCAAUCCGCUUUGAGAUGGCCUCGCGUCCGAUUAGCUAGUUGGUGAGGUAACGGCCCACCAAGGCAACGAUCGGUAGCCGGACUGAGAGGUUGAACGGCCACAUUGGGACUGAGACACGGCCCAGACUCCUACGGGAGGCAGCAGUGGGGAAUAUUGCACAAUGGGGGAAACCCUGAUGCAGCGACGCCGCGUGGAGGAAGAAGGUCUUCGGAUUGUAAACUCCUGUUGUCGAGGAAGAUAAUGACGGUACUCAACAAGGAAGUGACGGCUAACUACGU
rnacentral:rRNA from 1 species